CACGGGGGGAGCAAGCGUUGUUCGGAAUUACUGGGCGUAAAGCGCACGUAGGCGGACUAUUAAGUCAGGGGUGAAAUCCCGGGGCUCAACCCCGGAACUGCCUUUGAUACUGGCAUUCUCGAGUCCGGAAGAGGUGAGUGGAAUUCCUAGUGUAGAGGUGAAAUUCGUAGAUAUUAGGAAGAACACCGGUGGCGAAGGCGGCCCACUGGCUCGAUACUGACGCUGAGGUGCGAAAGCGUGGGGAGCAAACAGG
rnacentral:rRNA from 1 species